CCUUGCAGGUCCGGUCCUCAGAGGUAUCUUCGAUAAAGCCUUCGAACAUGCGGGCCAAAUUGCGACCGUAGUUGCAGAUGCAACUCCUGAAGGAUUUGCAGCUAAUGUCGCUGCAGGUAUUGUUGCAUCACACCUUUACGACUACAUAAAGGCAGCCGAA